UGACGCAGCAACGCCGCGUGGAGGAUGACACUUUUCGGACGUAAACUCCUUUUCUUAGGGAAGAAUUCUGACGGUACCUAAGGAAUAAGCACCGGCUAACUCCCUGCCGUGCCCGGUAAUACGGAGGGUGCAAGCGUUACUCGGAAUCACUGGGCGUAAA
rnacentral:rRNA from 1 species